AUAAGCCAUGCAAGUUGAAUGGGAUACCUAAAUUUUCCAUAGCAAACUGCUCAGUAACACAUGAUCAACUUGCCCUAUGGAGAAAAAUAACCUCGGGAAACUGAGGAUAAUAUUUCAUAGUUGAAUAGGCUUGGAAAAGUUUUUCAAUGAAAAGGAAAAGAUAAAUGGUUCUUUUCUGCCAUAGGAUAGGAUCGUGGUCGAUUAUGGUAGUUGGUGAGGUAAUGGCUCACCAAGCCGAUAAUCAAUAGGGGCCGUGAGAGCGGGAGCCCCGAGAUGGGUACUGAGACACCGACCCAGACCUUACGAGGUGCAGCAGGCGCGAGACCUCCGCAAUACACGAAAGUGUGACGGGGUUACCCAAAGUGUUCAUUUUUGAACUGUGGUAGGUGAGUAAUGUCCCCUACUAGAAAGGAGAGGGCAAGGCUGGUGCCAGCCGCCGCGGUAAAACCAGCUCUUCAAGUGGUCGGGAUGAUUAUUGGGCUUAAAGUGUCCGUAGCCGGCUUAGUAAGUUCCUGGUAAAAUCAGGUAGCUUAACUAUCUGUAUGCUGGGAAUACUACUAUACUAGAGGGCGGGAGAGGUCUGAGGUACUACAGGGGUAGGGGUGAAAUCUUAUAUCCU
rnacentral:rRNA from 1 species